AUCAGUGAUGGGAGGCUCCGCUCCGCUCCCUCUCGCUCCGCUCCCUCUCGCCUGACCCAGCCACCCGCCAGCCCCGCCGCCGUUGAAUCCCUGAUGGCAACCCUCUUCCAUAGCCCUCCUCCUCCCAGCCAACCACCCCCGGCCAUGGCGUCCGCAAGCGCUGACCCUGUCGAGCCCCAAGCGACCCUCUCCGGCGACCGCAUGUCCUCUGGCAGCCGCUGGUCGGACUCGAAGAGUGAGUCCUCGCUGCGCUCGUACAGCAACGUCGCCCGCGCUUCGCCAUCCCCCUCCGUGCCGCUGGCGCCCCCACCCCGCGGGCCACAGGCCCUGCUCGGGCGCACGCCUCGACCCACCUUGGUCCUUGCUCAGAGGUACACGGCGUAUCCGGCGGAGUCCAGGUCGACGCCGAUGGAUAUCAGCAACCGCGACGCAGGCAUCGGCAGCGCCGUCCAUGCCAGGUCGAAGAGCCUAGCCCGCCCCGCUGCGCCGGCGCAGCCCCUCCCCGGAGGAGGUCGCGGGACUCUGCUUUCGCUGCCUCGACCACCGCCAUCGUGUGCGGGACUGCACCAACGACAUCAGGUGCCGACGUUGCCUUGUCUCCGGCCAUGACUCGCGCUCCUGCGACGCCUUCGUCACGCAGCCUCGCCCCACAACUGGCCGCGCCGGACCGACCGUUUGGGAGCAUGCUCCAGUCCAAGCCACCCCCCCGCCACCGCCCCCCUUGCCGCCUGCAGCCCAGCAGGUCGCCACGUCAGCAGCGCGCGUGCAGGAGCCAGUCCGUGUGAUCAUGGCGCACUCUGUCGAGAUGGAAGAGGCCGAGGCGGUCUUGAGCCGCGCCAUGGUUGCAUGCAUCACCGGCAACAGGCCACGCGUGUCCGCCAUUGAGGUCUCCGACGUGCUGCUUGACACCUUCGACCUCGCCGACGGCGACUUCACCGUCCAUGCCCACCAUCCCGAGGACUUCUUAAUCCUAUUUAGCUCCCACACAACCAAGCGCCGGCUGGACGGCGACCACUUCAUCAACUCGCCACGCUUCUCCCUCUCCCUCAGGCCCUGGAGCAAGCUGGCUCACGCCGGGUCCGACGAGUUCGAGUUUUGCGUCGAGCUGGAGCUUCGUGGCAUCCAGGCCCAGGCUUGGCACCUUUCCACCACCGAGCACAUCCUGGGAGCGAGCUGCUGGAUUGAGCGUCUCCAACACCCUAAUUAUCACCCAUCUGCCACCAGAAGAGGUUGCCACUGCUGUUGUAGGCCCUUCUUUUCAAAUCAGAAACCCAGCGGAAGGUACAUUUCAUUGUCUUCCUCACACGUUCAAACAACUAGAUGACACCUUGAAUUUUCCGUAUUUCCAUGCAGAAAACCUUUUCCGUAUCAUUUACCUGCAAAAAGUCAUGUGACAGAUACUUACUUUCCAUUGUGAUGCAAAUCAACAUUCUGCCCGUGAAAAGAACAUUUCCCACAACUUCAAUAUUGUAUUGAAAUUUCACUUUGUAUGAUAGAAAUUGAUGCAAGACACCUUUGUGCCGUGAUUCCGAUUUCAUAUGUGACAUAUUACCAAGCUCUGGACAAAUUCAGUUCCCUGCGUUCACUAAAACAAAAACCUUAUGUUCUCGCUGUUCCAACAAGCACAGAUCCUUCUGUGGGCGCUGCGGCACAGGAAAAAGUUUGUCCUGCUGUCACAACUGGACAUCAAAUGCCUCCAUGCCUCCUCAGCAAUGCUGGCCCUAGCAAUUGGCAAAACCGUCAAAAUGUCUGGAAAGCAUCGAAGCCAAAGAUAGAGCAGGACAUUCUGCUUCCAAUAUUUCAUCCUAUAACAAUAGACCGUCCAUCUUCUUCAAAUGUAGAUAAAUGUUACAAAGAGAUGACAGAAUGCAUCAAAACAGACCGUGAGAGGAAAUGGAUUUCUUUGAGGGCCCCUUACAACCUUGAGAUGACUGGUCAUGCUGUCUGCAGGAGUUAUGCUCCAGGGAAAAUGAUGAAAAGCAACGGCAUGUCGGUUGCUGUUUACGCUCUGACCACAAAGGACAACAAGCUAUACCCAAAUGGAAUUCCUUGCUGGAGGGCUCUAUUUGGCCCAUAUUUUGCGAUUCUUCUGGAUGUUCGAUCCAAACAAGCUCCCCUACAAAAUGGAAAGAAUGCCAGAAAUUAAUGACAAUACUCGAUGACAACAAUGGGUGGUGCGUCUAUGAGGUUGACAUAGCUGCUCGCACGCUCCAUGUAAUGGAUCCAAUGAUGACCACAUCAAACGAGGGGAGUAUGGAGAGGAAACACCAGAAAAACGCUAAAUACAUGCUUCACUGCCUGUGCAAGUGCCUCCGUGAAUGGUAUCCAAACUGGCAUUUCUCUACAUUUCAAUGGACUUACAAGUACAACUACGGCAUGCACCCCAGCUGCAGCAGGGAAUAGAGCGGCUUCUACGUGCUACACUACAUUAAGGAGUUUGAUGGAGUUCGGCUGAAAACCUUUCCCACACAUGUACGCUGUGCCGUUU